UUUUCUUUCACCUUUCUCCUCCUCCACCUUCCCUGCCCCCUGGUAUUGAAGGAUGGCAGGUUAAACAAAAUAAAGAAGAUGGUGGAGUUUUGCACCGUCACGUGGCUCAGGUCUGCCGACUUGCAAGAACCCACAGAAACUUCUCUGGCAGAAACCAUGCUCACAGACAAGGCUGCUUAUCUGGAGAAAUUGCUCAAACUGAUCAAAAGGGUGAAGGCCUUCCACAAAGAAUUUAAACAAUCAACUUUCCAGAGAGAAAGCCGUUGGCAGACGUGAAUUGAAAGUGGCAAAUCUCACCUGCCCUCGGGGGAACAGGUACCAGUC
rnacentral:lncRNA from 1 species